rnacentral:rRNA from 1 species
UAAUACGAAGGGACCUAGCGUAGUUCGGAAUUACUGGGCUUAAAGAGCUCGUAGGUGGUUAGAGAAGUUGGUGGUGAUAUCCCAAGGCUUAACCCUGGAACUGCCAUCAAAACUUUUUGACUAGAGUGUGAUAGAGGAAAGUGGAAUUUCUAGUGUAGAGGUGAAAUUCGUAGAUAUUAGAAAGAACACCGAUUGCGAAGGCAGCUUUCUGGAUCAUUACUGACACUGAGGAGCGAAAGCAUGGGUAGCGAAGAGGAUUAGAUACCCUCGUAGUCCAUGCCGUAAACGAUGUGUGCUAGACGUUGGAAAUUUAUUUUUCAGUGUCGCAGCAAAAGCGUUAAGCACACCGCCUGGGGAGUACGACCGCAAGGUUA